rnacentral:SRP_RNA from 1 species
GCAAGUGGCACGUGGCGUGUGCCUGUAGUCCCAGCUACUCGGGAGGCUGAGGUGGGAGGAUUGCUUGAGCCCAGGAGUUCUGGGCUGUAGUGCGCUAUUGGGUGUCUGUGCUAAGUUCGGCAUCAAUACAGUGACAUCCUGGGAGCAGGGGACCACGAGGUUGCCUAAGGAGGGGUAAACUGGCCCAGGUCAGAAACGGAGCAGGUCAAAACUCCCAUGCUGAUCGAUAGUGGUACGGCGCCUGUGAAUAGCCACCGCACUCCAGCCUGGGCAACAUGGCGAGACCCCAUCUCU